rnacentral:lncRNA from 1 species
CAAAAGCCUGGAGGAGACCCACACUCAGGAAUGGCUUGACAAUUCUCCAAGAACAACCCAGGCAGCUUUGAAGGAGUUUAUACCAGUGGAUUCAUCCCCCUGCAAGUGAACUUUAUUGGCCUGUUGCUCACAGAAAAUACAAUGGAAAGAACACAAUGUUUAGUUCAACACACGAUAGAAAGAGAAAAUAAUUCACAACAAGAAAAUAUCACUCAAAGUGUGUCUGAUUGCCUCUACCCUGAGGAUUUACAUUUCCACACAAGCUUCCAGGUGACGCCGAUGCUGUUGAUCUGGGAUGUGACCAUACUGUGAGAACCGUUGCUCUUGAGCAUGACUGCGGAGUGACAUCUGAGAAGAGCUGUGAGUGGCCUGUUGGAAACAGCUUUAAAAGAACAAUGUCUUCUUGGGGCUACACGAUUGCUCAGUGGUUAGGACACUCAUCACCAAGCCUGACAAUCUGGGUUUGAUUCCUGGAACCCACAUGAUGGAAGGAGAAAAACAUCUCCUGCAAGUUGUCCUCUGACCCUGACACAUGUGCUAUGGCAUUCACAAGCACAUAAAAAUAUUUGUUUAAUGUCAUAAUGAACUGUUCUUUAAUGGCAGUGACCUG